UCUCCGUUGGUGAACCAGCGGAGGGAUCAUUAUCGAGUUUAUAACUCCCAAACCCUAUGUGAACUUACCACUUGUUGCUUCGGCGCGCGCUCCGGCGCCGCCGAGGACACUUAAACUCUUUGUUUUUAUAAGCAUUUCUGAGUGGCCGAAAGGCAAAAUACAAAUGAAUCAAAACUUUCAACAACGGAUCUCUUGGUUCUG
rnacentral:misc_RNA from 1 species